UUGUAAAGCCACAAGAAACACCUGCACUAUCAUCUCGAAAGAUCCUGUUGUUAUUGUUGAAAUCAUUCGCGUUUUACGAGUCGUUCCUGUAUCCUUCGGUCUCAUCUACCACCUUUGAUGCGUCACCGACACACGGUAUAUACAAUUGUACGUGUAGCAUAAUGCGCGACACAUAUUUGUUGAAGAUACAAUUGAAUAGCUAACGUGAACAACGUGUAUGACAUACAUGUGAGGAAUGGUAAUGUUCACUUUCCACAAGCUAUGGUGCUUGGUAUAAAUUUUCUGAAAAUCGCGGUGCAUCAUUUGUUAAACACAGGCAAUAAUCAAAAUAUUAAUUAUAAAAGUAAGGUUAUUCAUAUACCGAAGAAUAAUAACGAAAGUGGAGUUUUUGAAUAAAGGAACAAUAAAAAUGACCAACGGUUGGUUCCGAAAUUAUAGUAUAAGGCGUAAAGAUUUGAAACAGAUUUUGCUGGAAAAUAUAUUUGAGAAAAUCCAGAGUCGUGUAACUUAGGAACGUCUUGAACUACUACUCUUUUCUUUGACUUGGUCUGACUUACGAUCGCGAGACUACGGAUUUGGUGUUCCUGUAUAUAAACCGGUGAACAGUUACAUUAUGUUUACAUUUGCAUAUAUUAUUGCUUACGAGUAUAUGCAUUUCGUAAAUCUUGGCAGAACUAAUUAUUUGGCAAGAACAUCUUCUAGACGUAACACUCACAAGUCAUGUGUGGUUAAAUUUGGAAACACGUACUCUUCCUGUAGACUAUGUACAGGGGCGUGGUGAACGAUUCGAGAUUGGGGGGCGUCAUACCAUAAUGACCAACUUUUUCAAUGAAAAUGACCAACUUUUUCGUCCUUGAAAAAAUUUUUCUCGAAAUUUAUUUCGGUAACCUAACCCCGCCCCUCCCCCCCGUCGCCAAAAUAUUUUCGGUCAGUGUAUCAUUUUAGGG